rnacentral:lncRNA from 1 species
UUCACUAGAAAAAAUCAUAUUAAAAAUAUUAAUGUGUAUCAUGUGAUAUCCUUUGGUAUAUAUUGCAAAUAAAUAAAGACAGAUGCUCUAAGAAUUACUUUAGCUGAAAAAAUCAUAUUAAAAAUAUUAAUGUGUAUCACGUGAUAUCCUUUGAUAUAAAUUGCAGAAAAAAUAAAGACAAACACUCUAGAAAUUACUUUUAUUAGAAAAAAUCCUAUUAAAAAUAUCAAUGUGUAUCAUGUAAUAUCCUUUGAUAUAUGUUGCAAAUAAAAUAAAGACAGAUGCUCUAAAAAUUACUUUCGCCAGCAAAAAUCGUGUUUGUAAUACUAACAUUAAUGGCCAAGCUUUGGCCAAAAAUACUCAUAUGGGG